rnacentral:sRNA from 1 species
CGUUACAGGUUCCCCGCGUGCAUCUUGCCCUAAACCCCCAAUUUUCUAUGGUUGACCUCGGAUCAGGUAGGGAUACCCGCUGAACUUAAGCAUAUCAAUAAGCGGAGGAAAAGAAACCAACAGGGAUUGCCUCAGUAACGGCGAGUGAAGCGGCAUAAGCUCAAAUUUGAAAUCUGGCUCUUUCAGAGUCCGAGUUGUAAUUUGUAGAAGAUGUUUCGAGUGUGGUCCGGUCUAAGUUCCUUGGAACAGGACGUCAUAGAGGGUGAGAAUCCCGUAUGUGACUGGAUACCUUCGCUCAUGUGAAACUCUUUCGACGAGUCGAGUUGUUUGGGAAUGCAGCUCAAAAUGGGUGGUAAAUUUCAUCUAAAGCUAAAUAUUGGCCAGAGACCGAUAGCGCACAAGUAGAGUGAUCGAAAGAUGAAAAGCACUUUGGAAAGAGAGUUAAACAGUACGUGAAAUUGUUGAAAGGGAAGCGCUUGCAAUCAGACUUGCGCCUAGUUGAUCAUCCAGGCUUCUGCCUGGUGCACUCAAAUUAGGCUCAGGCCAGCAUCGGUUUGGGUGGUUGGAUAAGGCCUUGGGAAUGUAGCCCCCUUCGGG